rnacentral:rRNA from 1 species
CGAUGAUGCAUAGCCCGAGUUGAGAGACUGAUGGCCACAUUGGGACUGAGACACGGCCCAAACUCCUACGGGAGGCAGCAGUAGGGAAUCUUCCACAAUGGACGAAAGUCUGAUGGAGCAACGCCGCGUGAGUGAAGAAGGUUUUCGGAUCGUAAAGCUCUGUUGUUGGUGAAGAAGGAUAGAGGUAGUAACUGACCUUUGUUUGACGGUAAUCAAUUAGAAAGUCACGGCUAACUACGUGCCAGCAGCCGCGGUAAU